rnacentral:rRNA from 1 species
AGUGAACGCUGGCGGCAGGCCUAACACAUGCAAGUCGAACGGCAGCACAGUAAGAGCUUGCUCUUACGGGUGGCGAGUGGCGGACGGGUGAGGAAUACAUCGGAAUCUACUUUUUCGUGGGGGAUAACGUAGGGAAACUUACGCUAAUACCGCAUACGACCUACGGGUGAAAGCAGGGGAUCUUCGGACCUUGCGCGAUUGAAUGAGCCGAUGUCGGAUUAGCUAGUUGGCGGGGUAAAGGCCCACCAAGGCGACGAUCCGUAGCUGGUCUGAGAGGAUGAUCAGCCACACUGGAACUGAGACACGGUCCAGACUCCUACGGGAGGCAGCAGUGGGGAAUAUUGGACAAUGGGCGCAAGCCUGAUCCAGCCAUACCGCGGGGGUGAAGAAGGCCUUCGGGUUGUAAAGCCCUUUUGUUGGGAAAGAAAAGCAGCAGGUUAAUACCCCGCUGUUCUGACGGUACCCAAAGAAUAAGCACCGGCUAACUUCGU